AAUGUUCCGUAGGUGAACCUGCGGAAGGAUCAUUA
rnacentral:rRNA from 1 species